rnacentral:rRNA from 1 species
CCUCUUUCGCUCAUGGUCAAGCCGCAACAGUGGUUGUGGUGAGGGUAGUGGGUAAAGAAGCACCGGCUAACUACGUGCCAGCAGCCGCGGUAAUACGUAGGGUGCGAGCGUUGUCCGGAAUUAUUGGGCGUAAAGGGCUUGUAGGCGGUUUGUCGCGUCUGCCGUGAAAUCCUCUGGCUUAACUGGGGGCGUGCGGUGGGUACGGGCAGGCUUGAGUGCGGUAGGGGAGACUGGAACUCCUGGUGUAGCGGUGGAAUGCGCAGAUAUCAGGAAGAACACCGGUGGCGAAGGCGGGUCUCUGGGCCGUUACUGACGCUGAGGAGCGAAAGCGUGGGGAGCGAACAGGAUUAGAUACCCUGGUAGUCCACGCUGUAAACGUUGGGCACUAGGUGUGGGGGCCACCCGUGGUUUCUGCGCCGUAGCUAACGCUUUAAGUGCCCCGCCUGGGGAGUACGGCCGCAAGGCUAAAACUCAAAGGAAUUGACGGGGGCCCGCACAAGCGGCGGAGCAUGCGGAUUAAUUCGAUGCAACGCGAAGAACCUUACCAAGGCUUGACAUGCACGGCGGCACUGCAGAGAUGUGGUGGCAUUUAGUUGGUCGUGUGCAGGUGGUGCAUGGUUGUCGUCAGCUCGUGUCGUGAGAUGUUGGGUUAAGUCCCGCAACGAGCGCAACCCUUGCCCUAUGUUGCCAGCACGUUAUGGUGGGGACUCGUGGGGGACUGCCGGGGUUAACUCGGAGGAAGGUGGGGAUGACGUCAAAUCAUCAUGCCCCUUAUGUCUUGGGCUUCACGCAUGCUACAAUGGCUGGUACAGAGGGUUGCGAUACUGUGAGGUGGAGCGAAUCCCUUAAAGCCAGUCUCAGUUCGGAUUGGGGUCUGCAACUCGACCCCAUGAAGGUGGAGUCGCUAGUAAUCGCAGAUCAGCAACGCUGCGGUGAAUACGUUCUCGGGCCUUGUACACACCGCCCGUCACGUCACGAAAGUUGGUAACACCCGAAGCCCAUGGCCUAACCGCUUUUGCGGGGGGAGUGGUCGAAGGUGGGAUUGGCGAUUGGGACGAAGUCGUAACAAGGUAGCCGUACCGGAAGGUGCGGCUGGAUCACCU